rnacentral:ncRNA from 1 species
UCCAUCAAAAUUAUGUGUACUCAAAGUAGAGGGAAAUAAGGAAUAAGGAAUAAGGAAAGAGUUGAAAACAACUGGUUGCUCCUUCUGAUGGAGGCCCAGCCCAGGGUUGGUGUGAGGCUGGCAGACCUGGCAUACCAGACCAGGUCUCCCUGGAGUCAAAUUGCUUUGGAAUGCAGCCCAAAGUGGGUGGUAAACUCCAUCAAAGGCUAAAUACCUGCACAAGACCAAUAGUCACCAAGUUCUGUAAGAGAAAGUUGAAAAGAACUUUGGAGAGAGAGUUUAAAAGGGUGUGAAAUCAUUAAGAGGUAAGCAGGUAGGGUCUGAGGAGUCCUCCUGGAGUAGGGAGAAAAAAAUAAAAAAGAACUGGAUGCUGAACAAGAGAGAAAAUAGCACUGAAAGUACACCUUAUAAUUUUGGAAGAGACUUUUUUUCUCUUCCUCCCAUGAAUUUGCUUUCGGUGUCUUCAUAGGACCCUUUACACCACUUCUCUAAUUUCUCUAAUGGCUUUUCUUAUUUAUGACCAAAGAUUCCUGUUCACAG